rnacentral:rRNA from 1 species
GACGAACGCUGGCGGCGUGCUUAACACAUGCAAGUCGAACGGAGCUUCUUGGAUUGAGACUUCGGUCAAAUGAAUUGAAGCUUAGUGGCGGACUGGUGAGUAACGCGUGAAGAACCUGCCUUUCAGAGGGGGACAACAGUUGGAAACGACUGCUAAUACCGCAUAAUGUGCGACGGGGGCAUCCCUGACGCACCAAAGAUUUUAUCGCUGAAAGAUGGCUUCGCGUCUGAUUAGCUAGUUGGUGAGGUAACGGCUCACCAAGGCGACGAUCAGUAGCCGGACUGAGAGGUUGACCGGCCACAUUGGGACUGAGAUACGGCCCAGACUCCUACGGGAGGCAGCAGUGGGGAAUAUUGGGCAAUGGGCGAAAGCCUGACCCAGCGACGCCGCGUGAAGGAAGAAGGUCUUCGGAUUGUAAACUUCUUUAUCAGGGACGAAUACUGACGGUACCUGAUGAAUAAGCCACGGCUAACUACGUGCCAGCAGCCGACGG